UACGGGGGGGGCAAGCGUUGUUCGGAAUUACUGGGCGUAAAGGGCUCGUAGGCGGCCAACUAAGUCCGACGUGAAAUCCCAAGGCUUAACCUUGGAACUGCGUCGGAUACUGGAUGGCUUGAAUUCGGGAGAGGGAUGCAGAAUUCCAGGUGUAGCGGUGAAAUGCGUAGAUAUCUGGAGGAAUACCGGUGGCGAAAGCGACUCUCUGGACGGCAACUGACGCUGAGGCACGAAAGCGUGGGGAGCAAACAGG
rnacentral:rRNA from 1 species